rnacentral:lncRNA from 1 species
GCCGCAUUAUAAUAAUAUUUUCUGUUCUGCCAGAAAUUCACAUUUAGUUUCCAGGGACAGCUCUUUAUUUGCGUUCCUUUUCCAAAGGUGGCCCAAUGUUAAGUACAGAUGUCCCCAAACUGUUAUCUGGGAUAAAUUGUGAUUCAAGAUAAAGGAUGUCAAAUCACAUAUUUUCCAAUAGAAGCAAAUUUGCAAUGGAUAUUUUAUUUCUUAACAAGGGCCUAGUGUCCAGUUAUUUACCAAAAUGCUCAUAAACAGUAAAUGGAAUCAAUGACAAAUGACAUAUGUUUACAAUGUACAGUAUAAAACUUCACAAAGCUGCAGGUCCCAGGAGGUCUCCUGUCAUCUUCAGUAAAGAUGAUACUGGCUUUCAUGCAUUAUUUAUUGUCAAGGGGUAGGCUGAUUCGUUGCUAUGAUUUAUAUACUGCCUGCUAUAACUAAAAUAAUUGUAUCAUAACUGUAAAG